rnacentral:piRNA from 1 species
GUGUGAUGGGCCUACCAAAGUGCU